CAUAUCCUCCUGUAAGAACCAUCAGCCACCACCACUCUACCUAUCCUCCUCGCGUUGCUCCAAAUCUGCACCGGCGGCGACGACGGCGCUGAACCACCCCAUGUCGGGCGCCUCCUCAUCUAUCCUGCACCGGGCGCCUCCCCAUCUACACACAGCGGAUGCUCCCCGUCUAGCCCACGCCAUGCCCCUCCCCAUUCAGAUCGCGCUCACACAGCGGCCCAGUGCUACCCCUCGAACUGAGGUGGAAGGGGUGGCGGCGCUACUAACUGCUGGAUUUUAAAGUCCCCAAGGUAGCCGGCGACGGGCAUGGAUCCAGCUACAUCUGGCGGGGGGCACAGAUCCACCUCCAUCCGGUAGUGGACACAGAUCCAACUCCAUCCAGCGGUGAUUCAACAUGAGCGAGGAGUCACCCAAUCCCCACACGCUUCUCCUGGUCUAUUUGUUUGCAGGUAUUGCGUUAUUAUACACUUUAUUAUUUGGGUUGGGGGAUCUGCAGGUCAGUCUGGUGGGGAUGGUCAGUGGCAAGGCGGAGCGGAACACAGAUGUUUCCUUCACACUCAACGAUGACACCAGUCACAUUGAUUUCGUGAGAUGAUCACUGCCACAAGAAUAUUACGAAUGUGCAAUAGCAAGACAAUUAUGCCCUGUGUAUAUAUACACACCCAACAGGUACAAAAGGUUAAAAUAAAUACCCAUCCUUGCAGCUCUCAAGAACCUUCAUUGGAGCACUCAAGAACAGAGAACACGGAAAAUAAAAUACGGGCCCUCUUGCACAUUGAAAGCGCUGGACAAUAGUGAUUUAUCCACUAAUUGCUGCUGCUAUGUUGUUGCAUCACAGAUCUGGAUGACCAUGUUCCCCUAUAAUAUUUGGAGCAUGGGUUGUGGUGCACCUGAACAAGCAUUACAAUGUUGGAGCGGACGACCAGUCAUGGCAGGGGGCGUUUGGUGCUUGUUUGUAUUUUUUUUUUGCAAGGAUCCAUUUGGCUUAUGUUCCUGGUUGUAAUGUUUGUUUUUGUAAUUUGUCUUCUAUUAGAUAUGAGAAGAAAUGUUAAAGAAUACAUUGUAUCAAAAUGUGUUACCUAAUCAAAAUUAGUAGCCUACUA